rnacentral:rRNA from 1 species
UACGUAGGGGGCAAGCGUUGUCCGGAUUUAUUGGGCGUAAAGGGCUCGUAGGCGGUUUGUCGCGUCGGGAGUGAAAACACGGGGCUUAACCCCGUGCCUGCUUCCGAUACGGGCAGACUAGAGGUAUGCAGGGGAGAUCGGAAUUCACGGUGUAGCAGUGAAAUGCGUAGAUAUCGUGAGGAAGACCAGUGGCGAAGGCGGAUCUCUGGACAGCUCCUGACGCUGAGGCGCGAAGGCUAGGGGAGCAAACGGG